GUGGGGGAGGGGGAGGAGGGGGAGGAGGAGGCAGUCGAACCGGGCCGACCGCCCUUGCAGAUGCCCAGAUUGGAGUUGCAGAAUCCGGAGUUGGUUUUGAAGGAGGCGCUGGAGGAACUCAAACUGGAGUCCUGACCACCACAACAACAACAACCACCACAACAACAACAACAA